CAGCGCCACGAGUGGGAACUAUAAUUAUUGGGCCUAAAGCGUCCGUAGCCUGUUUAAUAAAUUUCUUGUGAAAUUGUUAAGCUUAACUUAACAACGUGCAGGAAAGACUGUUAAACUUGGGACUGGGAGGGGUUAGAAGUAUCUUUGGGGUAGCGGUAAAAUGUUAUAAUCCUAAAGAGACUACCAAUGGCGAAGGCAUCUAACCAGAACAGGUCCGACGGUGAGGGACGAAAGCUGGGGGAGCGAACCGGAUUAGAUACCCGAGUAGUCC
rnacentral:rRNA from 1 species